CAGAUGAUAUCGAAUAGGUCCCAGGUAUCCACAGGAGAGGAAGGAAUGGCUGUGGACGGAAGGACCUGUGGUCAGAGAGGUGCCUGCAGACACUCCCUUCCAGACUUGCCCCUGAUGCUCUGGUGGCCAAACUCCUCUGCUCAGGCAUUUCCCCAUCUGUGACAAGGGAAGGCCACCCACCUCCCUGGCUGCUUCCAAGGAUGGAGGAGGACGUGUGUGCCCAGGCUAUGUCUGCGGUGGGGUCACUGUGGCGGUGGCCUGCAGCCAGAGGCUCCUUCCAGACUGUAGUGGGAUGCCCAUGUUUCUGCCCCCAGGCUGGGGCCUCCAAGCCCCACUUCAGGAAUCGAUCCUCAGACAUAAAAGCACCAUGAGCGAUGGACAUUCAUUCCACGGUGGCUGUCACAGUGUUGAAAGAGCAGAAACCCUGAAACAGCUGAGACGUGUCUCCAAAGGGAGCCAGGCGGAGUAAGUCCACCAAUCCGUGCCACGGGCCAGUAGAAAGCCAUUAACGAGAGUAACAUCAGUCUUAUUGACCUGAGACGUCCAGGAUACAUUGUGAAGCCAAAAAUAUAUUGCUGGGGGAAAAAGCAUAUUAAGGUGAAAACAAAGUUGCAGCGUAAACAUAAUAGUGGCGCCUCCUCUUUCCCCGCUGCCCCCCAGUAUGCGUAUAUAUGCUUGCAUAUAAAUUUAUAGAUGGAGAAGGAGACUGGUUAUAGCAGGGAGGCGCCAGCGAGGGACGGCAAAAAGCAAAAGAAAGGGGGCGGCGCCUGUGGCUCCAAGGAGUGGGGCGCCAGCCCCAUAUGCUGGAGGUGGCGGGUUCAAACCCAGCCCCAGCGAAAAACUGCAAAAAAAAAAGUGAAAGAAAGGUGGGGAAGGCUGUUAAUAUUUUAUAUACUUCAGUGUUGUUUAAAUUGCUUUAAUGAGCAUAUACAGGUUUUUUAUAAAAAGAAACAGCAAUUUUUAAAACUUCCAUCUUGGUUACUGAUUUACAGUGGGGUUUGGGCAUGCCAGGACAUGAACCUCAGUCUCUCCACCAGUAAAAUGGGAAUAACCUUGUCUGUCUUGUGGACUCACAGUGAGGAUUAAAGGCUCAUGCACCUGGUGAGUGGGAGAGUGGUGGGAAGGAAGUACACCCCUGCAGCCCACAGCCCCCUUUGGCAGGAUAUUCACUCCUCUCCACAAACAUCACCUCUCCAUCCCUGCUACCCUCAGCCACUGGAAGUGCUAAGCCAGCCUCUGUCAUUUCUUGGCCAAAUGACCUUGGCAAAUGUCCAUCCCCCUCUGAGCUCCAGUCGCCCCACCCAGAGAAAGGUGGGUCAUCUCCCACUUGCCUGCCAUGGGAGCCCAGGGUACCUGACUCCCUCAUGUGGCCACGCAUGAUUCCUGGAGCGUCUGGAUGGGGAAUGAGGGAGGGAGAGGCAGAGCUCUUGGGUAAACAUGGCUUGUUAUGCAAAAGCUCAAAGCUCUGCCACUGAAAAGCUCACCUGAGAUGUCUAAAACCAGCAGAUGAAUCCCCAAGCGCUUUGCAAACACAGACCGCUGGCCCUCGGGAAUUGGGGUUAAAUUCUGGGCUUCUCAGGGAAGAACACCAAAAUCUGCUGGAUUCCACCAAGGAGGGGGAAAGGAGCAGAAAAGGGAGGAAAAGAAGAGGAAGAGGAGGAGAAGACCCUUCCCCCCACCCCCGUCUUGUUUCCCAAGAGGCAGGCAUGAGACCUAAAGCCGAGUCCUGGAGGUCAGACAGGAGUGCGACGCCUUCCGGAAGGAGCUGCCCCACCUAAGGCUGGGGCUGGCCACUGCCCACCCGGCAGAGGUUCUCAUGGACAGGCGAUGAUGGCAGACAUUGAGCACUGCCUGCAGGUGCCACGACGCCCCUCUGGAACUUAGACGGCACCCUGACUUGCAGGAAGGGAGGGAAGUCCCAAAUCGACUGAGUUUAAACCUGCAAUGACUGAAUUUACCUGGAAUUGUCUGAGAUUACAUUUUCUGCCUUCAGGCAGAAAGGAAACUUGGGACCAAAAUUCAGUUCCGUGAUCGAAAAAUAAAGUUACA